rnacentral:lncRNA from 1 species
AAAACAUCAAUUCAACCUUUUAACCUGCAAAUGUUGUCAGCCUGAGAAUAUUUCUGCAGCACGUUGGGGCAUAAGAAAAGGUUCUGUUUUUUCUGUUUUACUUGUCAAGUCUUUUUUCUUUCCUCAGUUUCUUUAUGGUAAUGACCAUAAUAACAUCAUUUGAUUUGUCAGGCAGAAUAAGUGAGAGUGUGCAAUACAUAUGGAAAGGGUGCUUUGAAUUCUGACUUAAGGAAAAGAAAAUCCCACUGUUUCUUUCCUUCUUUUGCACCCCCACCAACCUGGCAACCUGACACGGCCAAACACAGUGUGAGGUGGCCUUUCGCCGCUAUAGCCACCUCCCACCCACACCUGUCAUGGGGCCAAGUUCCCACAGCUGAUGAAGGGCCACAACACCUUAUUUCCACAAGUGCAGUAAAAGUACAAAGACUUCUUGCUCUGCUACAUAUCAUGAAGGAAGGGUGGUCCCUUGAUCCUGCUGGAAACCCGCUGAAAGAUUGGGUGACUGAGAGAGGGAUCCCAGAGUUGUUGUUGUUUUGUUUUAUUUUUGUUUUUUCUUUCUUCGCAAAUGCCUCUUUUUUCCCCGUUUUGCUUUGGCGUCUGUGGAAGAAGAUUUUUUGCAGAGACCAACUUUUUUGCUGCUGUUUUUUAGACAUGAUGGGGAAAAAAACCUUUAUAGACUCAUUAUGCUCAAAGCAUGCAUACUGACACAGGAUAUAGAUAAACACAAAUAACAAAGCAAACAUACACAUUUAAAGAUGCUACACAUAAAAAAAGAAAAGAAAAGGGAAAAAAAAAAAAAAAAACUACCUUGUACAUGUAUAAAUACGUGCAAAUGCCAACUCAAGUACUGACGCAAACACAUGCGUGUGUGCACACACACAAACACACACACCAGCCUGCUGCCAUUUUGGUUUUUGUGCCUACACAGGUGUUGUGCUCUGUGACAGGGCAAGCUCUGGAUCAAAGAAGAAAACGAGAAGAAGAAAACGAGAAGAAGAGGAAGAGGAGGAGGAAGAAGAAGAAGAAGAAUCCAGGAUAAUUUACAUGCAUCAUUCCUUAGGAAAUAGGGACCAAAGGACUAAACGCUUUUUAAAAGAAUAUAAAUAUAUAAAUAUAUAAAUAUAUAUUUAAAAACUCAUACCUUGUAGCUGCAAGUAUUACAAUUUACUCGUAGUCAAAAAAAUCAUUAAAUCAAUAUCCAGUGGCCUACUGUAAGUACGAAUAAAAGAAAAUGGAAAUAAUGUAAAAAAUAAAAAAAGACAUGGCAUCGUAGUGUAGGGGCUGAUCUUUCGCUCUGGAUGCUGGUUUAGCUCCAGGUUGUAGAAUAGUAAAGUAGAUUAGAAAACAAUGUAGAUUUGCUAACUUUUGCUGUUGUUUAAAAAAAUACUUGAAGUUGUAAUGAAAAGUGGGCAAAAGGAUUGGGUGGGGGGGGUGCGGGUGGGGGGAACAUUCAUCUGCCCCUUGUACGCAACGAGUCUCUUUUUCUUGGAUGUUAAAGGUAUCAGC